UACGGGGGGAGCAAGCGUUGUUCGGAAUCACUGGGCGUAAAGGGAGUCUAGGCGGUUUGGUAAGUGGGAUGUGAAAUCCCCGGGCUCACCCCGGGACCUGCAUCCCAAACUGCUGAGCUUGAGUACAGGAGAGGGUGGGGGAAUUCCGGGUGUAGUGGUGAAAUGCGUAGAGAUCCGGAGGAAUACCAGUGGCGCAAGCGGCGCUCUGGGUCGAGCCUGACACUGAGACGCGAAGGCAUGGGGAGCGAACGGG
rnacentral:rRNA from 1 species